AUGUUUUUGAUGGCUAUUAUGUCGACAGUGCUCUGCCCUUCCAUCACUUUACAGUUUGUUCAUAACUUUACCACCGCUUUUUUUUUUUUUUUUUCGUUUCUAGUUCACCCGUACAGAUUGACUCGCACGACAAUCUACUCACGGCUGCCAUUUCAUUUAGCCUAUCAGCACAGUGCUCAACUAAAGUACAUACAUGCACACAUACACAAACAUUGCACUAUGACACACACCCACUUCCUUAAAGGACAAAGGGAAACCUUUAAACUCGAAUCCCUCUAUCAAACAUGAUUUUACAACAUGCAUCCUAUUUAAAGUACAGCAUGUUUAAAUUUUAAAUAAACUCGAAAAAGAAAAUGCUCGUAACCACUGACCUCACUAAAUAACUGGACUGCCUGGCUGUCAAUCACAUGGUCAGGGACUCUGAUUGGCUGAGAGCUGACGAUUUCAUCAUCCACUUGAAACACAUCAAAGUGCCUCGGUGUCCCCUUUACAUGCAAUUCAGGGUCUUCACUUCAUGUAUAAGCUACAGAAAAUAUGUACAGUAUGUGUCAUGGGCUUGGCAAACAGCAUAUGAGCAACUGCAAACAUCAUAUUUAUAGAUAGAUGUUAUCCAGAACAUAUCGUACUCAUACUGUGUGUGUGUAUAUAUAUAUGGACAUAUGUAUAGUUCUUCCGCUGUGAAAUGAGCUCUAUGGCAGUCUAGUUAUUUUUUGACCUUUGACCCGAGUCAGUGAUGUCGUCGGAAAACAUCCAAACAUAUGAAACCCAAAAACAUCAGAUCAUCUCGUCAGAACCGCCAGAACUGUCGUAUCAGGUCAGUAGAAAAAAAAAACAAAAAAAAAAAACAGAUCAAAACCAGGACACAAAUACACCUUCAGACCAGAAACAGAAUUUUUCAGAGAAAACACAAAUUCUCUUUGUUGAAAAGUGUUAUUAUUGAGUAGAGAGAGAAGAAAAAAAGUUCUGUUAUUAUUGAGAGAGAGAGGGAAAAAAAAGUUCUAUGUGGACUGAGCCGUGUGCAAUGUGUUGGGUAGAUAUCUGUCUGUCUUCAGAUUUUUAAGAAAAGCGAAGCAAGUGAAAAAAAGACAAAAAAAAAACAAAAAAAAAAGUUGAAGUCUGCAAGCUCCUGGACUCUAAACACGAGGGCCACAAAAAAGAAUCCCAGUCUUUGUAAACGUUAAAGCGGGGAAGUUAAUUUUUACUUUUCAUUUAUUCUUUUUUAAUGUUUUAUUUGUAAGCUUUUGUUUUUACUCGUCAGAACCGCCAGAACUGUCGUAUCAGGUCAAGUGAAAAAAAACAAAAAAAAAAAACAAGAUCAAAACCAGGACACAAAUACACCUUCAGACCAGAAACAGAAUUUUUCAGAGAAAACACAAAUUCUCUUUGUUGAAAAGUGUUAUUAUUGAGAGAGAGAGAGAAAAAAAGUUCUAUGUGGACUGAGCCGUGUGCAAUGUGUUGGGUAGAUAUCUGUCUGUCUUCAGAUUUUUAAGAAAGCGAAGCAAGUGAAAAAAGAACAAAAAAAAAACAAAAAAAAAAGUUGAAGUCUGCAAGCUCCUGGACUCUAAACACGAGGGCCACAAAAAGAAUCCCAGUCUUUGUAAACGUUAAAGCGGGGAAGUUAAUUUUUACUUUUCAUUUAUCUUUUUUAAUGUUUUAUUUGUAAGCUUUUGUUUUUAAACUAUUUUAGGGGUGGGGGCCGAAGGAACGAUUUUACAAAAGCAAAUGUAUUACAACAACAACAACAAAAAAAUACUGGUGCUUCUGUUACUCAAGCGCAAAUAAUACCACACCAGAACGACUGUUUCUGACGAGACAAGUUAAACGAGCCUCUGUUUCUCUCUUCUUCUCUUUUGUAUUUACUAAGGGGGUUCAGAUUUUUAUAUAUAUAUAUUUUGGUUCUGAC
rnacentral:lncRNA from 1 species